rnacentral:rRNA from 1 species
AUGAAGGGGUGGGGCGCCAACCUGGGGCGUGACCUCCGCGAGCGUAAGAAGGCUCUACUGUCUACGACCCAAGCCUUGGACCUGCGCGCCGAUGCUACCGGCCUCUCUCCCGAGGAGUGGCUCUCCCGCUACGACUUGGAAGAUCAGCUCUCUAUCAUCUACGCCGAUGAAGAGGCCUACUGGCGUUUGCGUGGUGCUCAGAAAUGGGUUCUGAAGGGAGACGCGAAUACGACAUAUUUCCAAGCCAUUGCUACUGGCCGACGUAGGCGCAACACCAUCCCUCUCCUUUGGGAUGGCUUGACCCUCCUGCAGUCCCCGCGGGACAUUAGGUCCCACGUCGACGGCUUCUAUAGGUCCCUGUUCACAGCCGCUCCUCGGAGCGGCUUAUCUCUGGCCCCUGACUGUUGG